UAAUACACACCAUAUCACCCUGCAGCCCAAGACUCACUAAAGCUAAGCAGGGCAGAGCCUGGCCAGUACCUGGAUGGGAGACCAAAUGAGAAAACUGGGUUGCUGUUGGAA
rnacentral:rRNA from 1 species